rnacentral:rRNA from 1 species
AUACAUGCAGUCGAGCGAACAGACAAGGAGCUUGCUCCUUUGACGUUAGCGGCGGACGGGUGAGUAACACGUGGGUAACCUACCUAUAAGACUGGGAUAACUUCGGGAAACCGGAGCUAAUACCGGAUAAUAUUUCGAACCGCAUGGUUCGAUAGUGAAAGAUGGUUUUGCUAUCACUUAUAGAUGGACCCGCGCCGUAUUAGCUAGUUGGUAAGGUAACGGCUUACCAAGGCGACGAUACGUAGCCGACCUGAGAGGGUGAUCGGCCACACUGGAACUGAGACACGGUCCAGACUCCUACGGGAGGCAGCAGUAGGGAAUCUUCCGCAAUGGGCGAAAGCCUGACGGAGCAACGCCGCGUGAGUGAUGAAGGUCUUCGGAUCGUAAAACUCUGUUAUUAGGGAAGAACAUACGUGUAAGUAACUAUGCACGUCUUGACGGUACCUAAUCAGAAAGCCACGGCUAACUACGUGCCAGCAGCCGCGGUAAUACGUAGGUGGCAAGCGUUAUCCGGAAUUAUUGGGCGUAAAGCGCGCGUAGGCGGUUUUUUAAGUCUGAUGUGAAAGCCCACGGCUCAACCGUGGAGGGUCAUUGGAAACUGGAAAACUUGAGUGCAGAAGAGGAAAGUGGAAUUCCAUGUGUAGCGGUGAAAUGCGCAGAGAUAUGGAGGAACACCAGUGGCGAAGGCGACUUUCUGGUCUGUAACUGACGCUGAUGUGCGAAAGCGUGGGGAUCAAACAGGAUUAGAUACCCUGGUAGUCCACGCCGUAAACGAUGAGUGCUAAGUGUUAGGGGGUUUCCGCCCCUUAGUGCUGCAGCUAACGCAUUAAGCACUCCGCCUGGGGAGUACGACCGCAAGGUUGAAACUCAAAGGAAUUGACGGGGACCCGCACAAGCGGUGGAGCAUGUGGUUUAAUUGGAAGCAACGCGAAGAACCUUACCAAAUCUUGACAUCCUUUGACAACUCUAGAGAUAGAGCCUUCCCCUUCGGGGGACAAAGUGACAGGUGGUGCAUGGUUGUCGUCAGCUCGUGUCGUGAGAUGUUGGGUUAAGUCCCGCAACGAGCGCAACCCUUAAGCUUAGUUGCCAUCAUUAAGUUGGGCACUCUAAGUUGACUGCCGGUGACAAACCGGAGGAAGGUGGGGAUGACGUCAAAUCAUCAUGCCCCUUAUGAUUUGGGCUACACACGUGCUACAAUGGACAAUACAAAGGGCAGCGAAACCGCGAGGUCAAGCAAAUCCCAUAAAGUUGUUCUCAGUUCGGAUUGUAGUCUGCAACUCGACUACAUGAAGCUGGAAUCGCUAGUAAUCGUAGAUCAGCAUGCUACGGUGAAUACGUUCCCGGGUCUUGUACACACCGCCCGUCACACCACGAGAGUUUGUAACACCCGAAGCCGGUGGAGUAACCAUUUGGAGCUAGCCGUCGAAGGUG